GCCCCUCAGUGCUGGUGAGCUGAACAGCACCUGCUGUAAUGUUGACUACAACACUGCAGACUCCUCCAUCUCCCAGUCUGGGCAAGUGGACCUUAGGAGAGACAUCCUCAGGUUUAUAAGGAGUCCAGAGAGUCGUCUCUGCUGGCAUGAAACUGCACACUGCUGGACGCUCGAGGUAAUCACAGUAUUUCUUACUCUCAUGAAGAGGUUCCACUUUAACGAUUAUUAAAAGAGAACUUAAAUGAAAUGCGGUUGUAGAUCUUGAGUUUCAUCUAAUUGUCGUUUGCACGACAAGGGAUUCCCUUACCAUAACAACUGUGAGGACAGUUUCCCUGGCAUUCAGGUAAGGGGUUCAGGUAAGGGGUUCAGGUAAGGGGCAGUUACUAAUUGUGUUUGUGUGUUUUAAGGUCGUUGAGCCAACCUUCAGCUGCUGCCAAAAGAACAUGACCAGGAAUCUUCACCCAUCCUUCUGGUAACCAAACCUUUCAUUUAUUUACUAAAGCUGAUCACUGGAUUUCACAGGGUUGUUUUGAUUGUAAAGAAAGCGAGAGAAUGUUACUUGUGUUAUUAUAAAAUCGCUGUGAUAGGAAGCAGUUAUGUUCAUCAUGCUCUUCAUUUCACAGAGGCUCGAUGCUGGUGAGCUGAUCAGCGCCUGGCAAAAUAUCCAGUUCCUCUCUGCACGCACCUUUACCUUCCUGUCUGGGGUAUUCUACAGUGCUACAGCUGAGAUACAAGCACACACAUCCUUCUUUACAAGUUCUAAUGUUUAGUUUGGUUUCUCUAUUUCUAGGCAGUGGACAUUAAGGGAUACUUCCUCGGGAUGAUAAGGGGUCCUGAGAGUCGUUUUUGCUGGUUUAAAACCACCAAGACGCGCUACUUCGACCAGCUGGGAUUCCCUUAUUGAACCACCAUCGAGGACCAGUUCACUGCCAUACAGCGAACCUUGGUGUCCUGCACGUUCCUGCAUGUGGCUAAAGAUGGUCAGGUGAACAUCUCCACCUGGGAGCAGGAGCAGGAGCAGGUUGACACUCCCCACAGUGAUUCAGAGG